rnacentral:rRNA from 1 species
GAUGAACGCUGGCGGCGUGCCUAAUACAUGCAAGUCGAGCGAACGGACGAGAAGCUUGCUUCUCUGAUGUUAGCGGCGGACGGGUGAGUAACACGUGGAUAACCUACCUAUAAGACUGGGAUAACUUCGGGAAACCGGAGCUAAUACCGGAUGAUAUUUUGAACCGCAUGGUUCAAAAGUGAAAGACGGUCUUGCUGUCACUUAUAGAUGGAUCCGCGCUGCAUUAGCUAGUUGGUAAGGUAACGGCUUACCAAGGCAACGAUGCAUAGCCGACCUGAGAGGGUGAUCGGCCCCACUGGAAGUGAGACACGGUCCAGACUCCUACGGGAGGCAGCAGUAGGGUAUCUUCCGCAAUGGGCGAAAGCCUGACGGAGCAACGCCGCGUGAGUGAUGAAGGUCUUCGGAUCGUAAAACUCUGUUAUUAGGGAAGAACAUAUGUGUAAGUAACUGUGCACAUCGUGACGGUACCUAAUCAGAAAGCCACGGCUAACUACGUG